rnacentral:rRNA from 1 species
UACGGUAGGGUGCGAGCGUUUAAUCGGAAUUACUGGGCGUAAAGCGUGCGCAGGCGGUGAUGUAAGACCGAUGUGAAAUCCCCGGGCUUAACCUGGGAACUGCAUUGGUGACUGCAUUGCUGGAGUAUGGCAGAGGGGGGUGGAAUUCCACGUGUAGCAGUGAAAUGCGUAGAGAUGUGGAGGAACACCGAUGGCGAAGGCAGCCCCCUGGGCCAAUACUGACGCUCAUGCACGAAAGCGUGGGGAGCAAACAGG